rnacentral:rRNA from 1 species
GACGAACGCUGGCGGCGUGCUUAACACAUGCAAGUCGAACGGAAAGGCCCUUCGGGGUACUCGAGUGGCGAACGGGUGAGUAACACGUGGGUGAUCUGCCCUGCACUUUGGGAUAAGCCUGGGAAACUGGGUCUAAUACCGAAUAGGACCGCGCGCUUCAUGGUGUGUGGUGGAAAGCUUUUGCGGUGUGGGAUGGGCCCGCGGCCUAUCAGCUUGUUGGUGGGGUAAUGGCCUACCAAGGCGACGACGGGUAGCCGGCCUGAGAGGGUGACCGGCCACACUGGGACUGAGAUACGGCCCAGACUCCUACGGGAGGCAGCAGUGGGGAAUAUUGCACAAUGGGCGCAAGCCUGAUGCAGCGACGCCGCGUGAGGGAUGACGGCCUUCGGGUUGUAAACCUCUUUCACCAGGGACGAAGCGCAAGUGACGGUACCUGGAGGAGAAGCACCGGCCAACUACGUG